UUUAAUUCAUUUACUUAUUCUUUGUCAAUUUUGAUUGGAUCAUUUCUUCAUAUUUCACGACUAACGUGGAGGAAACACCUGAAUCAACAAGGAAGUCAUGUACUUGCUUAUUGGUACAUGUAUUUUAUUUUUAUUUUUUAUUUUUUUGCUAACACUGGAUUUUUUACCUUCACCGUUGCCAUUAUAAGCUCAAAGUUCGGCUACUAAGAAAGACGGAGAUCACCGCUUUGUGCUCAGCUUCUCCCAUUCGCUCGACAGUGCGGUCUGUUCUGCUCUCUGAUUGGUCCGCUUACCUGGCGCCUGAAAGCUGUUUUGAACAAGUUCGUUCAACGGUUCUCAUCUCAGAAGAAGCUGAAUUGUGCUCAAACCUCGACAAAGAAAAGAACGCUGUUUGGACCUCGUCAGCUUUCAGCAAAUCGAACCCCUGAAGCUUACAACUUGGCUGUCCAUCAUCGAGAGAUUGGAAGCAAUCAAGACAUCAAAGGUGUCAAGAAAUGGCUGAGCAAACAUUUUUACGCAGCGCUAUCAGUGAAGUGUUGCCCGAUCUUGCAGAGGCUUCAAAAGACAUUCUCGAGGAGACUUUACAGUCAAUUGGAGUAGAAACGUAUGAUGACUUCCAGUUCAUUGUUGAGGAAGACUUGCUGUCAGCAUUAAGACCAAUUCAAGCCAGAAAGGCAC